GACGAACGCUGGCGGCGUGCCUAACACAUGCAAGUCGAACGAAGCUUGACGAAUGAUUUCUUCGGAAUGAAAUCUGAUAUGACUGAGUGGCGGACGGGUGAGUAACGCGUGAGCAACCUGCCCUUCGGAACGGGGUAGUGUCUGGAAACGGACAGUAAUACCGUAUAACGUAUUUUUACCGCAUGAUAGAAAUACCAAAACUGAGGUGCCGAAGGAUGGGCUCGCGUCUGAUUAGAUAGUUGGUGGGGUAACGGCCUACCAAGUCGACGAUCAGUAGCCGGACUGAGAGGUUGAACGGCCACAUUGGGACUGAGACACGGCCCAGACUCCUACGGGAGGCAGCAGUGGGGAAUAUUGCACAAUGGGGGAAACCCUGAUGCAGCAACGCCGCGUGAAGGAAGACGGUUUUCGGAUUGUAAACUUCUGUUCUUAGUGAAGAAUAAUGACGGU
rnacentral:rRNA from 1 species